rnacentral:rRNA from 1 species
UACGGAGGGGGCUAGCGUUGUUCGGAAUUACUGGGCGUAAAGCGCGCGUAGGCGGCUUAGCAAGUUAGAGGUGAAAGCCCGAAGCUCAACUUCGGAAUUGCCUUUAAAACUGCAAAGCUAGAAUCAUGGAGAGGUUAGUGGAAUUCCGAGUGUAGAGGUGAAAUUCGUAGAUAUUCGGAAGAACACCAGUGGCGAAGGCGACUAACUGGACAUGUAUUGACGCUGAGACGCGAAAGCGUGGGGAGCGAACAGG